CUAGAAUGACUUCCCUCUACACCGGCCACACCCUUAUCUCGCAUCCUCUCUUUUCAUAUUCAAAUGAAACACCUUCAACGCAACGGAAUUGAAUAAUUCCGUCACGCAUGCCAGAGAACAAUUAGUGUUUACCACUUAUUGGCCGUAUAAACAACAUUUGCCAGCUAUACGAUGUAACGCUGGCAAAUACAUUUCCUUCGUCUGCUCAAAUCACGUGAUGUAUUUCAAUUGAACAUGCAAAUAGCGCGCUCGCGCGAAUCGGUUUUAGGUUUCGAGUAAGAUGGGAAGCAAGAAAUUAACCAUUCUCUGCUAGAUUCUGUCCUAGACAAGUCGUUUUGAGAUAUUUACUUAGCUUUUGCUUCGUUCGCCUAGCUUGCUUUGAACCACUGUUAUUUCACUUGUGUAAUAAUGGUCUUUUACGGCAACAAGUUCACCGGGAACUGUGUGAUGAAUACCCUGGAGGGUACUCGUUGUAGGAGGAAGGCACCCCUGCCUGUUGAUGAACCGGAUGAGUGCUGGCAACACCGACAACAGCCAGCCGAGGUCCAGUGCUCUGCACAUAUUGGGCUUCAUGGGAAUGGCAGACGUUGCAGCCGGCGUGGACGUCACUCGCUAGACGAAAACGCUGUUGAACUCUACUGCACGCAACACGUCAACAAGUUGCAUCGCGAGAACGGUCGUGCGGAGGUCGUUCCUGCUCAUCGCCAACAGCAGGAUGAACAGCGUAGGAGGGCGGAGGAGCGUGAGCAACUCCACCCGAGACGAAGGUCACCGCGUCUGGUAGAGCGAGAGAUCGCAGCUGCCGCCGCUGUUCAGCUCGCCGCGGAGAGAGAGCAACGUCGUGCCGCCAAUCGGGCAAACCAGAACCUGCGGAGGUCGGCCCGGAUUGCCGCGAGGCGAGGCAAUGUGUGAUUGUAGCCUGGACUGAUUCGCAGAAGCAGCAGGGGGGAGACCGAGGGGGGAUACUGGGUCGAACACUGCUGAGGUUCUCGGGACGUAAACGCCUUGCUAUAGGAGUAGUAGGGAGGAAGCCGAGACGGGUAGUGCAUGGUCACUCAAAACCAGACCCGCUGUACUAUCGUAGUCAAGAAAGACUGGGUGUGGUCAGUCGAGGUAGACGCCGGAGGCCAUUCCCUUUCUUUGACCGCCUGUAAAUUAUUCCAAGAAGAUCAGGCCUCACCGUGGGACGCGCACACACGUCGUAAGUAUGCAGGUAUUUCAAUGUCUACCUUGUGAUAAUAUAUUCCUACUCACCAGAUCAGUUUACCCAAUACCUCCUAAUAGAAGUCAUGUAUACUUCUGAGGUUUGACAUGUAGGUUAUUACAUUGAGAAUUUGUGAAUAUUUGGCUGAAAAUCUUUUUUAAUAUACGUUAUAUUGUUAUAAGGGUUCAGAAGUUGUCUUUUUUUGUAAGUUUAGUUAUUGGUUUUGCAAUCAUCCAUCUCAUAAAAGUAGUUGUACUGAUAUUUCAAUGUGUAUUAUUUAUUGUUAUAAAAUUUAGUGUUGAGUUUAUAAAGGUUAAGCUUAAAUUAUUAAUAUGACCUACUCAGUGAUUAAUGAGCAAUGUGUAAUUUAAAAUGUGUUCAAUUGACCUAUGCUUUAUGUACUGUAUAUAGUUGUUAGCCAUGUGAAGUAAAAAAUUCCACGUAAUGUGGACAAUAAAACAAAUCAACCAAUCAAAUCAAUGUAUCUUGUUGUAAGAGCUAGACUUGGCAGGAGCUGUCCAAUUACCCAGUUUGUAAUUAGUACCAAAUAACCACUAAAUAUAUAUCUGAACAUGGAGAGGCCUAGCUAAUAGGGAUUGUAGAACUUGAGGAGUCACAUGAAUGCCAUUUAUCUCCAGUUAGAGAUGCAAAACUUUACCUGUGUAUCAUGAAAUACCAUACUGGUGCAUAAAAUAAAAUGAAUGUUUGAAUGUAUCCAAUAUUUUUCUCAAUUUGCACAUUUUUUAAAACCAAAUUUUCAAACUGCAAUUACAAACUGGCCUAUUAUAGGAUGUGUACUGAUAAUGUACUUGUAGACAGAAUGUUCUUUCAUGUGGAAUGCACGAAAGAAAAAAAGAUGCCAACAAUUAAUGAUGAACUUACAAAAAUGGUUGCAAACUAAUGAUAAAAUACAAUUAAAAAAUAUGAAAUUUAAAAUUUAAAAAGAGACGUUAAAUGAAAAACAAAAUAAGAUGGACAAAAUAAUUAAAUUGAAUAGAACACAUUCUUUUUUAUAAAAAAAAGGUUUAAAAUUAAGUUUAAAAAGGAUGUGUGUUCCCUUCAAAGUCAAGACGAGUUACACGGGAAAACACUAAAAACCACUAUAAUCCUUUAGCAUUAGUGAUCAUAAAAUUCUUGGUAAAGUUUUCCAGUCCCUUAAAAGAAACAACUGAAAUCUCAUCUUCUCCCAUUUGCAAUUACUUUUAUUUAAUCCUAUUUUCUUAUACAUUAUAUACAUGUUAUGCAUAUGUAGGUUCUACUCAUAUACCGGUAAAGCAAAUCCCCUUCUGUUUCUCUAUUUGUAGUGGAUUAUUCUCAAUCCUAUCUUUUAAAGGGGUGCAUUUUCCUGACAUGUUACCAAUUCGAAGAAGAAACACAAAAUCACAUAUGAAGAAAUAAAUCACCUUUAUGUGGCUGGGGUAAAAAACAAAAUUAAAUUUAGUUUAUUAUUCAUAUUUACCAGAGGACAUAUUAAGCAUUAUAUCAGACAAAAAAUACAUCGUGUUCACUAUUUUCAGGUAUACAGCACCUGUAAAUCCCAUGUGUGUUCUCUAAUAGGAUUUGUUAGACUCUCUGUGAAAUGAAUAGUUUUUUUCCUUCUCUUAUCUUUCCAGUUUAUAUCUUAAUCAUAUAUAAUUGCUUUUAUUGUGGGAUGUUUUGAUUUUUCUUAUGGUAGGAUAGGACUCCUUUAAAAUAUAAUAAAGAUGUAAUAUAGCUUUUUCUACUUUUCUUCUCAAGUCUCCACUAAUAUAAAUUAAUGUUUUAAUACAGUAGGCUCUACUUCAAAUGUGUAAUACCUAAUCAUUCUCAGUAUUGUUUAGCAGCUGUUUAUCUUGUCCAAUGCUCUCUCUGGUUUACCCUUCUCUCCAUUGCAGCAGGGAUGUUUCUCGAUAUUGUAGAAUUCUCUUGAUAGCUCUUUACAUCUUCUAAGAGUAUUGAAUCUUUCUUUCAAUAGGAGAAUAAUAUCGUAUGUCAUUCACAAUUCAAGGCUUUCGGUAACACUAUGUGGUUUGUACACCAAGAAUUAGGUCAUAUGGAAGUAAAAAAGGAAAGGAAAGAAAGGGUGGUCAAGAUUGAGAAGGUUGUGAGGAGAUCGCAAAGGGUGUAGUUUUGAAAAGAAAAUUGUAUCUUUCCUCUUUCUAUAUCAUUUUUAUCUUUCUAUUUGUUUGUAUUUUUGUUAAUGUCUUCGUCUUUCUUUUUCUUUUUCUGUAUCUGUAUCUAUCUCCCCUUUUCUCUUUUUUACUUUCUCUUACAUGUAUAUUUUAGUCUUAUAUUAUCCCCUCGCUGACGAAGUCGGAGGGGAUCUAGUAACGCUGCCGUCCGUCCGUUCGUAACAAAUCUGAUUUCCGUUCGAUAACUUUAGUAAUGUUUGGCGGAUUUUAAUAAAAUCUGUUAUGAAGGUACAUGGUAUCAAAAUACAGCCUAAGUUCGAUUUCAAAGUAUGUAGAUCAAAGGUCAAAGGUCAUAGCUUAUUAAAUAUGCAAAAUACCCAAAUCUGGUUUCCGCUCUAUAACUUUAGUAAUUAUGUUUGACGGAUUUCAAUGAAAUUUCAUAUGAAAGUAAACGGUAUCAAAAUACAGCAGCCCAAUUUCGAUUGCGGAGUAUGUAGGUCAAAGGUCAGAGCUCAUUUAAUAUGUGGGGAAAAAGCUAAUUAGAAAAUUUGGUUUCUGUUCAAUAAUCUUAGUAAUUUUUCGACGGAUUUGAAUGAAACUUGAUAUGAAGGUACAAGGUAUCAAAAUACAGCAUAAUUUCAACUUUGGAGUAUGUAGGUCAUAGGUCAUAGCUCUUUAAAUAUGCAAAAUACCUUUUUAUAUAUGCGAAAAUGUGGUUUUCAUUCAAUAAUGUAAGUAAUGUUGUUGAGUAUGUACGUCAAAGGUCAAAGGUGACAGCUCAUAAAUAUUAAAAACUUGCUAAAUAUAGGCCAUUUUUACCCGGCGAAGGGACGCUACGCUUUGCAUGGACUUGCUUUUUUUUCUGUCUCUCACUUCUAUGUCCUUUUAGAACAUUAUCAUUAAUACUCUUUCUUCUUCUCAUACUUUAUCAUCUUCUCUUCAUUAUCUUUCCCAUCCAUUGUACCCAUCCAUAAUACCCAUAUUUACCACAAUAAAUCAAUGUAUCUACCUAUCAUUUGCUAGUUUAUCCAAACUACGCCACAACUCUAAAAACAUCACAAUCACGUAUGCCCCACCCCCAUAAUUCGCCUUCCCAGGGUUCAUGUGCGCAACGCACACCCGCCAUUCAUCCUCUUUCUAUUCUCGCCUACCGGCAGAGACAUCGUUACAGCUGAGUCACAUUUAAAUUCAAGGAUUUUGUCCUUUUUUCGAUAGGCUUAGCUCUUUUUACGCAUUGAAUUCCGUCCUCUUUUUUAUUGCUAUUAAUAUGGUGGUACAGGUUCCCAAGUCACAUAUUUAUUUUUGCAGAAAUUUGGGUAUCAUUUCUGCUCCGCAUAUUUCCACUUUCACGACCAUAAAUUACAGGCUUUGGUACGCCGCUGGGUUAGGGCGUUUGGUCCUGGCGUUACGGCCUUUGCUGUUUGGGAUUUCUUACGUGUGGUAAGGCGGUUAAUUUAUUCACUGACCUAACGUCCCACCUUAGCUUGUUACGCUUCACGGAUCACCGCUUCUGCGGCGGGACCUUUUGUCUGUUCGUGAUAGUUUGGUUUUAUGUUUUGUGACCAUGUUGAGCCUAUUUAGCUGAACCUUCCAGAUUUAGCAAGGCCCUUGAGCAAGCUUCGUCACCCGACGCUUCAGCAAGGGGAACGAAGUUUGUAGUUUGUAUUUUAUGAGGUUUACUGUAGCCUUCUGAUGUCCAGUCUCCGACUGUGACUUAGACGGAGAAGGCUGUGCUGAUUUUUAGACCUCAGCCUGCGUUCUCUCCAACCGUUCAGACUGGGCUUCUCGUUGUAACAAAGCAUCUUGGUGGGUGACAGGGUUUACCCUGGUCCCAUCUGUCUGUUCUGAAGCCCAGUUACGCUUGUCUGUUGUAAGCUGGUACCUGUUUUAGGUUGGGAUCCGUCUUAAUAAUAAUAAUAAUAUUCAAUUUUUAUAUAGCGUUUAAUACAAAUGUCUCUAAGUGCUUUACAAAUAUACUAUUACCCUAGUCAUUGGAUUCAGUGCUUCCAUUUUUUGGGGGAAUUAUCUCUUGGACACAAUUCCCCAGCUAACCUUGAGGGUAAUCAGAGUCCGUUGCUGAUGUUGGGGCAACAGGCUCCCCGGCGGGUUUCCCGUCUGGCUUGUUUCAGGUCGGUGGGUUCGGUUUUCUGUCCCUGUUGCUGCGGACAUCUGUUCCCUCUCUCGGCCGGACGUGUUGUUCCAGCCUCUGGCGGGGAUUCUCCGUCGUCGUCCCGUGGUGCUUGCUCUCUCUGACUGCCAGGACGGUGUCGGGAGGACGUUGACUUCUGGACUCUCUGAAGAAAGAGGGUCUCAUAGUUUAUAGUCCAGAGUCGUAGGGAUCCCACAAGGACCCUUUACAACUCUCCUUUGGAGCCCUUCUCCAUUUGGUGUUAAGGCCUUGGGGUCUCACCCGUAGACUUCGGCAGGUGUGAUAGUGGUUUUUUGACUUACUUGUUUGACAAGGGUAGAGCCCUUUCCACUAUUCGUGGUUACCGUUCGCCUUUCGCUGCCACUCAUGUCGGGUUUUCCAAAAAUCAGUCGGCGUCCUCCGGACCGGUGGAGGUUUUCCUCAGUCCCCUUUCGGAAUUCUCGUGGGUUGCGGAGGACAAGGUCUGGUGCCCCUUCAUGGCACUCAAGUGGUACUUAGAUAGAACUAAGGUUCACUGAAAGGAUGACCAGUUGUUCCUCAUUUUGUGGGAGCUCUUUUCUCCUGCGUCCCGAGAAUCCAUCUUCAAAUGGACAGUGGACGCUAUUCAGGCAGCGGGUCCUGAGGCUGGGUCCGAAGGCGAUGUAUGGGGUGUGGGGCAUGCGCGAACGUGACAUUAUUAAAAAGUUCUUGAUGGUGGCGUGCAAAUAAUAGGUAGAUACAUAGAUUCAUAUAGUAAAUAAUAAAAUCAGUUCUGAUUUUUCUGCUUUCUCUUACCCCACCCUCAUCCAUCAUCUUCUUACUCAUCCAUCUCCAUCGUCCACUUACCCAUUCCACUACCCCAUCCUCUUACCUAUUCCUCUUCCUCGUCCUCUUACCUAUCCUUCUUCCUCAGUCCUUUUAAUAUCCAUCCCUCUUCGUCAUCCUCUUACCCAUUGCUCAUUCUCAUCAUAUUACACAUCCCUCAUCCUCAUAUCCAUUCCUCAUCCCCAUCCCCAUCCUCUUAUCCAUUCCUCAUUUUCAUCAUAUUACCCAUCCAUCUUCCACAUCCAUCUUCCACAGCCCCUUUAAUAUCCAUCCUCUUCCUUAUCCUCUUACCCAUCCCUCUUCCUCAUCCUUCUCCUCAUCCUUCUCCUUAUCCUUCUCCUUAUCCUUCUCCUUAUCCCUCAUCCUAAUCAUCGUACCUGUUCAUCUUGCUCAUCAUCUUAUGUAUCCCUAUUCCUCAUCCUCCUACUCAUCCUCAUCCUCUUACCAAUCACAUUUCAUAUCCCCUCCCUCCUUCUCUCUCUAUUUCUCUCUUUCUCUUUCUUUCUCUCUUUCUCUUUUGAUCUCUUGCUAUCUUGCUCUUUCUCUCUUUCUCUCGUUCUUUUAAUAUCUUAUAUCAGACUUGUCAUGUUUAUUUUUAGUGAUCAACUUUUCCAUUCGCUAGUAAUGAAUUACAUUUAGGUGUGCUUCCUUGCCUUGAUUAUGUCAUAUCUCUUUUCUUUGUUAUAACUUGUAGAAUCUACUUUCUAAACAUUUUAUUCAUGGCAUGAUUUUUUUAAUCUCUUUGGUAACUGUUUGUUUUGCAAAUUUUCAUAUACCGGUAUACAUCUGAAUAUUGGGAUUAAUAAGGAUAUUUUACCUUAUUUUCCCUGAUAUUGCCAGUUACUGAAUCUAGAUGUUACUGUUUCUCUACAAUACUGCUGAAUGGCUUGUUCAAAUACUGCACGUCAGAUACAAAGCAAUAUUUUUUGUCUUUCUCAUCUUGAAAAAAAGUGUACUCAUCAUAUUUAUAUCAAGUCUGUAUAUAUAAAAGUACUGUUUAUCAGAUUAAUUUGUUAUUGUAUAAGAGUCAUAUUUUAUUUUAGCUUCCCUUGUUCUCUCUCUCUCUUUGUUGCUUUUUGCGAUUAUUACCGGCUGUAUAUCAGCUCUAAAUCAAGACCCAUCAUCUGUUUCCCUUUCUCUCCCUUUCUUCCUAUCUCUCACCAUGUCUCACACUUUCUUGCUCACUAUUUAUGAUUAUGACUUAUCAAAUCUAGAUUUGCUUUUUUGAAUAGGAUAAAUACCAUUCAUAGCAAGAAUCUUUUUUGCCUCCCACUCUAUCUCUCUAUCUCUCUAUCUCCUGAGCGCCUUCUCCCAUGGGGUACUAUGUCACAUUAAUUAUGGAUAGCAUAUAAUUAUAGGUCCUCUGAAUUGGUCUGGCCAAUUUUGAGUACUUCUUGUCUCACAAUUGCUACUGUAAUGCCGUAGACACUACAGCCAGCGACGUGCAGGGUGAUGGAUAGUUGUAGAUGCCUUGAGAGUUAUGGGAGAUCAAGUUGGAUUAUACAUGGCUAGCUGUAACUAGUAAGUAGGUUAUAACCUGUCUUACUAGAGCACCUGUGAGUGAUGUUCUAGCUGGUCUUGUACCUUAAAUUGCUGGAGAACGGUGCAGCAAGAUCAGGCAUUUUUUUUUCCUGGUAGGGCUAGUUCGUAGUUUAAGGUGCUUGCUAUGUGUCAUCAUGCCAUUCUCUUCAUGCUCGUGACAGCUCAACUGAACCAUCACCCAAUUAACAUAGGGUGUGUAGCCAUCCUAUAGAUCUAUAACAUAUAGAACUUACGGGCGGAUGAGCUCACAUGGAGCCAACGGCCAGCUACCAUGGAA
rnacentral:lncRNA from 1 species